AGUCGAACGAUGAAAGCUGGAGCUUGCUCUAGCUGGAUUAGUGGCGAACGGGUGAGUAACACGUGAGCAAUCUGCCCUGGACUCUGGGAUAACCCCGAGAAAUCGGAGCUAAUACCGGAUAUGACACCUCCCGGCAUCGGGUGGGUGUGGAAAGAAUUUCGGUCCAGGAUGAGCUCGCGGCCUAUCAGCUUGUUGGUGAGGUAACGGCUCACCAAGGCGACGACGGGUAGCCGGCCUGAGAGGGUGACCGGCCACACUGGGACUGAGACACGGCCCAGACUCCUACGGGGGGCAGCAGUGGGGAAUAUUGCACAAUGGGCGCAAGCCUGAUGCAGCAACGCCGCGUGGGGGACGAAGGCCUUCGGGUUGUAAACCUCUUUUAGUAGGGAAGAAGCGCAAGUGACGGUACCUACAGAAAAAGCACCGGCUAACUACGUGCCAGCAGCCGCGGUAAUACGUAGGGUGCAAGCGUUGUCCGGAAUUAUUGGGCGUAAAGAGCUCGUAGGCGGUUUGUCGCGUCUGCUGUGAAAAUCCGAGGCUCAACCUCGGACCUGCAGUGGGUACGGGCAAACUAGAGUGCGGUAGGGGGAGAUUGGAAUUCCUGGUGUAGCGGUGGAAUGCGCAGAUAUCAGGAGGAACACCAAUGGCGAAGGCAGAUCUCUGGGCCGUAACUGACGCUGAGGAGCGAAAGCGUGGGGAGCGAACAGGAUUAGAUACCCUGGUAGAAGGGC
rnacentral:rRNA from 1 species